AGACAUCGUGGAAACUAAUCGGCCUGUUAGACCUACUGCUAACGUCGUUGAUAUUAUUAACAACCGGCCGUCAGUGGAAGCUAUUGAAAUUAAUAGACCAAUUAGACCCACCAAUGUUGUUGAUAUUAUCGAGACUAAUCGACCAUCAGUGGAAGCAAUUGAAAUUAACAGGCCUGUUAGACCCACUAAUAUUGUUGAUAUAGACAUUAAUCGGCCCGCAUCGGAAAUUGAAAUCAGUGAAACAGUUGGACCGACAAAUAUUGGUA